rnacentral:lncRNA from 1 species
AUCUUUGAUUAUCUGGACUCAAUAAUUAUUUGACCUUUCAUUUUGACCCUUUAUGUGGUUACUCUGUGACUCAUCUCCCACAUGCUGGAUCAGGAGAGGCUGAAAACCAUAGAAGAAUAGUGGAGGCUUUCCAAUCCUAUUGUCUCUGUGCUUAUUUAAGUUCCAUUUAUUGAGAAUCGACAUAAACCCCACCAGGAGUCUGUCUGGACAGAGGCAAAGAGAAGAGGUCCAGGAGAGUCCUCUCGAGACUUUAUAAAUGAGAAGGGUGUUUCUGCUGUGAAUGGAGUACACCCCAAAACCGUCUGAUCUGAAUUCUGUCAUGGAUGCUUUUGACUGGUGGAGAGCAGAUCUUAGACAUGCACUGAGGAUGCAAGGGGGUGGCAAGUGAAUUCCAGCCUUUUACUUUGAGAAGUGAAAGAAUCACUGCUUUAAAUCACAACAUACUCUGAAAUGUGUUUAAGUCAGAAAACAUGAACUUUUUUUUUACCGAAGACAUCACCGGAUUGCCAAAGAAACCAUUUUAGCAUGGAUGAAACUCAAUGAGUGACAAAAUCCUUAUCUCCUUUGGGCGGCCCUGUAUCCAACCUGCAUGUUUUCCGAAACACAGAUAAAAUGUGCUGUCUAUUUAUCUUUUAAGAGUACAUCAAGACUUCAGCAAGAAUCUGGCUUCAAGAAAAUCUGGAAUUUAGGACUUCGAGAGACAAGGGUCUCUAAUUCUGUAGCUGAAACUUGGUCAUUCUUCUAUUUGCUGAAUUUUUAUCUAUGGUGAUCUUGAAUUAAAUUCUGUAAUGAAAUAAGCCCCUUUUACUGGAGAAUAAGAAUAAAAACCAUCUCCCAACUUUUUCUACCUCCAAUGUCCUGAUGACGCAGUGGUGAUAGUUUUAAUAAUUAUUUACCUUUCCACAGAUAAUUUGAAAUCAACUAUUAUAACAUUUGUAUUCAUUUUUUAAAUAUGCUAAAUUAAGAUAAGAUGGAAAUGCUGAACAAAACCUUAUUAGUGAAGCAGAUGAACUAAGUCACCUAUGCAGCCUCUCCAAGGCUCAUGUUUCAAGAUGUUGGCAAUGGAAGAAGCAAGAUAGGUCGAGGGCUGGGCAGGCUUCACAAAGUAAGUCAUGAAAAUUCCCAAAGUGCAGAGUGUUUUUCUGAAAAGUUGAGUUGUUCUUUCAUUUCUUCUAGAAAGAGUCUAAGGAGUACAAGUUUUUCUGCUAGCACCAAACACCCAUUUGGGCAGCAAAGACCUUGGAUCCUGAUAGCAAACUUCAAAGGUAGUUUUUAGCGCUUUCUUCUAGCAUCUGUUUUUUUGUGUCCUUUGGGAAUAAAGCCUGCAAGGACAAGAAUGUUGUCCUAGAGUUCCUUCCACUUCAGAUCUUCUUGAUGGCAGCAGAGGAAAGCUCAGUUUCAGUUUAGAAAAUCAGUUUAUUUUUAUCAUCCUAAUGGUGAAUGAUUAGCCCAAAGUCUUCGAGAUGUCUGACAUUUUAAAACUUUUUGAUUUAGACAGGCAUGGUUUAUUGUCUUUCAAUAUGGAACCUACUGGUUCUUAAAUAUUUAAUCAGUGUAAAACUUUAGGUACGGUCAGCAGAAGAACACCUUGUGCAGCUGACUGUCUGUCAAUAAGCCUGGCAAGUUUUCUCUGUCCCGGACACAGCUGUGCAAUGUACAAGGAUGUAUUGAAAUACUGGACCAACAUAUAAAUGUCAAAACAGUAAAGAAACUCUUGCCUCCAACUUGAUUUGUCAGAGAGUAACUUUCUACUCCUUUGGAGGAAUUCCAGCAGUUCCUGGGUAAGAAGACAAGAGGCAUACAUAUACCUGGACUCUCACUAUGUAAAAUUCUUGACCAAGGUCAGCGAUUUCCCACUCAUUCAUUUGCAAAGAAUUUGCAGGCUCGACUCAUCAAUUCAUUUUUUAAAGCUCUACUCAAUUUUCGAAAGAAAUUUAAAGCAUCCUUCACUUUCUAUGCAGGGACUCUGGGAAAAAAGGCUAGACUUUUCUUGAAUAAUUAGAAACCAUUGGGAAGAGUAUGUUAUGCAUGGGAAGAGCGGUGACUCAUGGCAUUUAGUUAUUUGCUCUACUAUUAAGUAACAGGAAUGGACUAACGCAUCAGUGUUUUGAUCCAUUUGGAAUCAGAACCAUUUAACUUUCCUUCCCUGUCAUCACACUGUCCUUGAGAGUUGUAUGAGGAAUAAGAUAAAGGUUCACUCAAGGUAAUAUCUGUAUUUUUUCAAGCACAUUUGAAUGAUUUGUUAUAUUUCUAAAACAUUCAAAGAAAAUGGUAAAAUAAGUAGUUCAUCAGAAAUGGUGUGAAUUUUCCAAUUACUUUGUAUCUGUUCAUUUAAUACUUAUUCAUCAUCUACUAUGUGCCAGGUUCUGUGCACACACUACAGUAAACAACAUAAAGAUUGCCUCUAUAGGAGUUCCUGUUGUGGCUCAGUGGUAAUGAACUCAACUAGUAUCCAUGAGGUUGCAGGUUCGAUCCCUGGCCCCACUCAGGGAGUUAAGGAUCUGGCAUUGCCACAAGCUGUGGCAUAGGUCACAGAAGAGGCUCAGAUUUGGUGUUGCUAUGGCUAUGGUGUAGGGUGGCAGAGGCAGCUCUGAUGCAGCCCAUAGCCUGGGAACUUCCAUAUGCUGCAGGUGCAGCCCUUAAAAAAAAAAA